UACGUAGGUGGCAAGCGUUGUCCGGAUUUAUUGGGUUUAAAGGGUGCGUAGGCGGUACUAUAAGUCAGUGCUGAAAUAUCCCGGCUUAACCGGGAGGGUGGCAUUGAUACUGCAGGACUUGAGUAGAGUCGAAGUAGGCGGAAUUGACGGUGUAGCGGUGAAAUGCUUAGAUAUCGUCAAGAACACCGAUAGUGAAGACAGCUUACUAGGCUCAAACUGACGCUGAGGCACGAAAGUGUGGGGAUCAAACAGG
rnacentral:rRNA from 1 species